AUUGAACGCUGGCGGCAUGCUUUACACAUGCAAGUCGAACGGUAACAGGGAGCUUGCUCCGCUGACGAGUGGCGAACGGGUGAGUAAUGCGUCGGAACGUGCCGAGUAGUGGGGGAUAACGCAGCGAAAGUUGUGCUAAUACCGCAUACGUACUGAGGUAGAAAGUGGGGGACCUUCGGGCCUCACGCUAUUCGAGCGGCCGACGUCUGAUUAGCUAGUAGGUGAGGUAAAGGCUCACCUAGGCGACGAUCAGUAGCGGGUCUGAGAGGAUGAUCCGCCACACUGGGACUGAGACACGGCCCAGACGCCUACGGGAGGCAGCAGUGGGGAAUUUUGGACAAUGGGCGAAAGCCUGAUCCAGCCAUGCCGCGUGUCUGAAGAAGGCCUUCGGGUUGUAAAGGACUUUUGUCGGGGAGGAAAUCCCCAGCGCUAAUACCGCUGGGGGAUGACAGUACCUGAAGAAUAAGCACCAGCUAACUACGUGCCAGCAGCCGCGGUAACAC
rnacentral:rRNA from 1 species